GUGUUGUAGUCGGCAGAAAACACAAAGUGGAGGAGGUGUUCAGAUAGUCUGGGUGUAGGCUGAUUUGGCUUUGCUGCAGAGGUACUUGAUUGAGAUGGUAUGGGUCCUGUGGUUGGACUUAGGAAGCAGCUGGAGCUAGUAACAGACUGGAAUGAAUUGGGCCUUGGCGUAUUGUCCGCUAGGUUUACAAACUUUAUAUACUUCAGUAGAUAGACUCAAGGAGGCACGCCGUAAUCAGGGGAGAAAUUAGGUUUUUUGGUUUGGUCUUUGCUUUUCAUAUGCUUAGCUUAAUAAUAUCUAGAUCAUUUUCUAUGGCUUUGAACAA